rnacentral:rRNA from 1 species
GAGUUUGAUCCUGGCUCAGAUUGAACGCUGGCGGCAUGCCUUACACAUGCAAGUCGAACGGCAGCAUGAUCUAGCUUGCUAGAUUGAUGGCGAGUGGCGAACGGGUGAGUAAUACAUCGGAACGUGCCCUGUAGUGGGGGAUAACUAGUCGAAAGAUUAGCUAAUACCGCAUACGACCUGAGGGUGAAAGUGAGGGACCGCAAGGCCUCAUGCUAUAGGAGCGGCCGAUGUCUGAUUAGCUAGUUGGUGGGGUAAAGGCCCACCAAGGCGACGAUCAGUAGCUGGUCUGAGAGGACGAUCAGCCACACUGGGGACUGAGACACGGCCCAGACUCCUACGGGAGGCAGCAGUGGGGAAUUUUGGACAAUGGGCGAAAGGCCUGAUCCAGCAAUGCCGCGUGUGUG